CCAGCAGCCAACCCCGCCUGAGGGACUGGACCACCUACAACCCCAGCACCAGCCCCGGCCAAUGAUGAGGACAUCGCAGAGCCUCACUAUGGCUCUCCUUCAGAUGUGCACGUGGUUCAGCAAAACCCUUCCGCAUCCGCAUCACUUGGCGUUUGUGUGGAACCCAGGAGAAAGCCGGGUUUCUCGAGCGGGUGCCCAGGUCCCAUGGGGCAUGGGAACUUCCCUUCUUAAGGCUCUUUCGGAAAUCCCAGCCCAAGAGCUUUGCUCAAAAGGAAGGAGUUCUCAAUCCAAGAAAGGACCUUCCCUCUUAUCCCAUGGCCACUGAGUGAGGAACAAGACCUGCGUGGGCACAGUAUUACCGAGAGAGGAAACAUACUGGAGACAACGGGAUAGACCUUCUGCUGGUGUAACUCCACUGACUUGAUUGUUGUCCCUUUCCCCUAAUUGUCCCUGACAAUUAGCAGCAGCUUUGGCUCCGGUCCGGCCUUUCCAUGCAAAACACUCAUCCAGCUUGAUUCUCUGUUGCUGAGCAUUUGACAUUCCCUUUGCACUGUUCUAUAUGGGCACCGUUCUUCACCCACCUCUGCCUUACAUUCCCACAGGGGCAAAGCGGAACCCCAGGGGCAGGGCAGCAGAGAACCCGGCCCUGCUCUUUUACCUUUGUCUCCAUGCAGCAUGUCCUUGGCUUCUUAUGUCAGAAGACACGGCUUGCCCAGGGUCUCCCUACAGGUCAGUAGCAUUGCCAGGAAUCCUACACUAUGCUCUUCCAUCAGUUAUGUUCUGCUGUGGUAACAGACAGCAGCCAUACAAGUCUGACUCCUAUUAACCUAACAUGAAGGAAAAUCUUUCCAAUUAAAAAAAAAAAAUCUGGGGACCAAACAUUUGCAGUUCUCUUGGGUGGCUGCUUAAAACCCGUUAGCUGCAAAAUCACUGUCAUUACUCACUCAGGGUAUGUCUACACUACAGCGCUAAUUCGAACUAACUUAGUUCGAAUUAGUUAAUUCGAACUAAGCUAA